GGGGAUGGUCUUCAUCUCUUGAAAAGAACCUCUCUUUCUAUCUCUUCUUCUCUUGCUGUCGUUGUUACGACGUUUUCUUUUGAUCACCGACUUCCUCAAUCGCCUCUCCUCUUGAUUCUCCAAAGUAACGAUUCAGUUGAUAGCAAAUGAUACACUCGAUUAGUGUGGAAAUGAUUUCUCUUGGUCAGCAGACUUUUUCUUGCCACCGCUCCCCGUUCUUUUUCAAGGUUAUUCAAAGAGACCUCAAAUUGGCUGCUGCCCUUUCUGCACUCGGAUUGGAGAAUACAGCACAAUCAGCACAGAAGGAAUUAUGCUUGAAGCCGAAAGGAAUACUGCUGCUGGACACAAGUGAGAAUAAAGGCUUAGGUACUAAAUGUGACACUUAUCAUUCCAACAUAUAUAGGUUCAACACAAGGUUCCAAACCAGGGAAGUUGAAGCUUCGACACAUUAUGGUGAUGUUUGAUAUGUGUUAGUUAUUUUCCGGUGCGCUAGUUUGUAGUUAAAUCUUUAUUUUGUUUGACCCAUAUACAAAUAACUUUGAAAAAACAUGGAAAAAGAAGAAGAUUAGUUGAGAUUGGUUGUAGAAGGCAGUUGGAGGAAAAGAUGUAUAACAAAAGCAUGCAAUAUGUGUAUAGAUACCUGUCUAUUCUUCUUGAUGAAAAACAGUUGAAUUCAAGAAAGAAAACCUUAAGAUGCAGUCCCUAA